ensembl:ncRNA C47G2.20 ncRNA
UAUCCUCAAUUCGAACAACUAACUGAUAUUUUUAAUAUCUAUCCAAAACACAUUACAGGACAAAGCGAUCGAUAGAAUUCCCAAUAUUCGA